CAAAAAAAAAAAAAAAAAAAAAACAAAAAAAAAAAAAAAAAAAGAAAAAAAAAAACAGCAUCUACAACAUUUGAGAACUCAUAGGUCCACAGGGAUGGGGUGUCUGAUCAGAUCUUUGCCAACUGUUUAAGUGGAUGGCCUGCAAGGACAUAAUUAUCUUUCUCUUGGUGAGAAUACAUAGAGCCUUCAUUUAGCCUUCAUUAGACAUUGAGUCAUAUUCUACAAUUUGUAAUAUUUUAUGACAGUCAUCAAGUAUGACUAUGUUAGCCAUCAGUCAUAAAUACAAUAUAAUAUGUAUUCUGUAUCAUCUCAUGGAUAGAAAGAAAAGGAUAAACUGAGCCUCAAAUUCUUGGGCUGUGUUCACAGGACCUGUGCAAAAAUACGGCUUUUUCAAAGUAGCUUGGGAAAAUAGGAGUGUAGGACAUCUUAAUAGAUUGACCUUGAAAACAAUAUAUUUAUUUCAAACUCCAGGUUCAAAGAUCCCAAUUGCAAGUGCUGUCUUAAGAUUGUUAUAAUCCUAAAUAAAAAGGGCUGGCACAAUUAUAGCUCCUUAUUUCUCCAGGUUCUUGCUUAGGUAUGGAUGGUGGUACCAUCUCACUAUUGAAUACCCUGAAAAUUCUCUCAAACACUCCAAGACAUUUGGUUAUGAACAGGGAGCUAAAAUCUCUCUUAAAGAGCAUUGCCAUUAGUCAGUUGAUACUUAUAGUGUGAGACUUGGAACCUCCCCCUGCCUCUCUGACCUGAGGAAUAACUUUUUCCCUGCGUGAGAUUCUGCACCUCCACCUAGAGUUUAUCUUACACUCCCUGAUCUAUGAAAGCAGCAAAUCUUAAUCCAGUAUUCACACAUUCAUACGAUCAGAAUUAACUGGGGUGCUGCUGCCUGUCACCUCAUUUUAUAGCUGUGAAAUUAGCC
rnacentral:lncRNA from 1 species